rnacentral:piRNA from 1 species
AUCCCAUGCACACUUGGCUAUUCAGGGAGU